rnacentral:rRNA from 1 species
AUUGAACGCUGGCGGCAUGCCUUACACAUGCAAGUCGAACGGCAGCACGGGUGCUUGCACCUGGUGGCGAGUGGCGAACGGGUGAGUAAUACAUCGGAACAUGUCCUGUAGUGGGGGAUAGCCCGGCGAAAGCCGGAUUAAUACCGCAUACGAUCUACGGAUGAAAGCGGGGGACCUUCGGGCCUCGCGCUAUAGGGUUGGCCGAUGGCUGAUUAGCUAGUUGGUGGGGUAAAGGCCUACCAAGGCGACGAUCAGUAGCUGGUCUGAGAGGACGACCAGCGACACUGGGACUGAGACACGGCCCAGACUACUACGGGAGGCAGCAGUGGGGAAUUUUGGACAAUGGGCGAAAGCCUGAUCCAGCAAUGCCGCGUGUGUGAAGAAGGCCUUCGGGUUGUAAAGCACUUUUGUCCGGAAAGAAAUCCUUGGCCCUAAUACGGUCGGGGGAUGACGGUACCGGAAGAAUAAGCACCGGCUAACUACGUG